AACGAACGCUGGCGGCAGGCUUAACACAUGCAAGUCGAGCGCCCCGCAAGGGGAGCGGCAGACGGGUGAGUAACGCGUGGGAAUCUACCCAUCUCUACGGAAUAACGCAUGGAAACGUGUGCUAAUACCGUAUACGUCCUUCGGGAGAAAGAUUUAUCGGAGAUGGAUGAGCUCGCGUUGGAUUAGCUAGUUGGUGGGGUAAAGGCCUACCAAGGCGACGAUCGAUAGCUGGGCUGAGAGGAUGAUCAGCCACACUGGGACUGGGACACGGCCCAGACUCCUACGGGAGGCAGCAGUGGGGAAUAUUGGACAAUGGCCGCAAGCCUGAUCCAGCCAUGCCGCGUGAGUGAUGAAGGCCCUAGGGUUGUAAAGCUCUUUCACCGGUGAAGAUAAUGACGGUAACCGGAGAAGAAGCCCCGGCUAACUUCGUGCCAGCAGCCGCGGUAAGAC
rnacentral:rRNA from 1 species